GAGCGGCAAGUAUCAGCAAUGAUGCUUAGAGCGGCGGACUGGUGAGUAACGCGUGGGUAACCUACCUUUAGGAUGGGGAUAGCUUCUAGAAAUAGGGGGUAAUACCGAAUGUGGUUGCGCUAUGAUGAUAGUGCAAAGAAAGGGGCUUUGGCCCCGCCUCUGGAUGGGCCCGCGUUCCAUUAGCUUGUUGGCGGGGUAAGAGCCCACCAAGGCGAUGAUGGAUAGCCGGCCUGAGAGGGUGAACGGCCACAUUGGGACUGAGAUACGGCCCAAACUCCUACGGGAGGCAGCAGCUAAGAAUAUUCCGCAAUGGGGGAAACCCUGACGGAGCGACGCCGCGUGGAUGACGAAGGCCGGAAGGUUGUAAAAUCCUUUUGCGGAUGAAGAAUAAGCUUGGGAGGGAAUGCCUGAGUGAUGACGUUAGUCCGUGAAUGGGCC
rnacentral:rRNA from 1 species